AUAGUUCUGCCCUUGCACGUGCAUACAACAAAUGGACUCCAAAAAGUACUUGCUUGCUUCUUCCCAACAUAAUUUCUAAUCAUUCCAUCUUGCAUGAAGUUUGAAUUAAAUUUGGGGUCACAAAAUGAUUUGAGCCUGGUUUCUACUGGCAUAACUGGGUUGAAUCAAACAACACAAUUCAAAGACACCAAACACACAUAUAAUAUAAUUCAUUUGUUCUAAUGAAAAGAAA
rnacentral:misc_RNA from 1 species